AAGUCGAGGGGCAUCAGGAAGAAAGCUUGCUUUCUUUGCUGGCGACCGGCGCACGGGUGAGUAACACGUAUCCAACCUGCCCUUUACUCGGGGAUAGCCUUUCGAAAGAAAGAUUAAUACCCGAUGGCAUAAUGAUUCCGCAUGGUUUCAUUAUUAAAGGAUUCCGGUAAAGGAUGGGGAUGCGUUCCAUUAGGUUGUUGGUGGGGUAACGGCCCACCAAGCCUUCGAUGGAUAGGGGUUCUGAGAGGAAGGUCCCCCACAUUGGAACUGAGACACGGUCCAAACUCCUACGGGAGGCAGCAGUGAGGAAUAUUGGUCAAUGGGCGCUAGCCUGAACCAGCCAAGUAGCGUGAAGGAUGAAGGCUCUAUGGGUCGUAAACUUCUUUUAUAUAAGAAUAAAGUGCAGUAUGUAUACUGUUUUGUAUGUAUUAUAUGAAUAAGGAUCGGCUAACUCCGUGCCAGCAGCCGCGGUAAUACGGAGGAUCCGAGCGUUAUCCGGAUUUAUUGGGUUUAAAGGGAGCGUAGGUGGACUGGUAAGUCAGUUGUGAAAGUUUGCGGCUCAACCGUAAAAUUGCAGUUGAUACUGUCAGUCUUGAGUACAGUAGAGGUGGGCGGAAUUCGUGGUUAGC
rnacentral:rRNA from 1 species